rnacentral:rRNA from 1 species
AGGGCUUGACAUCCAACUAACGAAGUAGAGAUACAUCAGGUGCCCUUCGGGGAAAGUUGAGACAGGUGGUGCAUGGUUGUCGUCAGCUCGUGUCGUGAGAUGUUGGGUUAAGUCCCGCAACGAGCGCAACCCUUAUUGUUAGUUGCUACGCAAGAGCACUCUAGCGAGACUGCCGUUGACAAAACGGAGGAAGGUGGGGACGACGUCAAAUCAUCAUGCCCCUUAUGUCCUGGGCCUCACACGUAAUACAAUGGCGCAAACAGAGGGAAGCGAAGCCGCGAGGCAGAGCGAAUCCCCAAAAGGCGUCCCAGUUCGGAUCGCAGGCUGCAACCCGCCUGCGUGAAGUCGGAAUUGCUAGUAAUCGCGGAUCAGCAUGCCGCGGUGAAUACGUUCCCGGGCC